AGAAAUACCCAGAUUUGGUUAGGAAGUAUUUGGGGAGAGUUGUGCCUAGUGAGGAUAACUACUAUGCAGCUUUGAAUUCUGCUGUGUUUAGUGAUGGGUCAUUUUGUUAUAUACCAAAGGAUACUAAGUGCCCAAUGCAGAUUUCUACAUAUUUUAGGAUUAAUGCCAUGGAAACAGGGCAGUUUGAGAGGACUUUGAUAGUUGCUGAUGAUAGGAGUUUUGUGGAGUACUUGGAAGGAUGCACUGCUCCAUCUUAUGACACAAACCAGCUUCAUGCAGCUGUAGUUGAGCUGUAUUGUGCUGAGGGUGCAGAAAUUAAGUACUCCACAGUGCAGAACUGGUAUGCUGGUGAUGAGGAAGGAAAGGGUGGGAUUUAUAAUUUUGUUACGAAGAGGGGACUUUGUGCUGGGGAUAGGUCUAAAAUAUCUUGGACUCAGGUGGAGACGGGAUCUGCAAUUACUUGGAAGUACCCUAGUGUUGUUUUGGAGGGGGAUGAUACUGU
rnacentral:misc_RNA from 1 species